GGAGGAAAGCAGGGGAUCGCAAGACCUUGCGCUUUUGGAGCGGCCGAUGCCUGAUUAGCUUGUUGGUGAGGUAAAAGCUCACCAAGGCUCCGAUCAGUAGCUGGUCUGAGAGGACGACCAGCCACACUGGGACUGAGACACGGCCCAGACUCCUACGGGAGGCAGCAGUGGGGAAUUUUGGACAAUGGGGGCAACCCUGAUCCAGCCAUGCCGCGUGAGUGAAGAAGGCCUUCGGGUUGUAAAGCUCUUUCAGCCGGAACGAAACGGUCACGGUUAAUACCCGUGACUACUGACGGUACCGGAAGAAGAAGCACCGGCUAACUACGUGCCAGCAGCCGCGGUAAUACGUAGGGUGCGAGCGUUAAUCGGAAUUACUGGGCGUAAAGCGUGCGCAGGUGGUUUUGUAAGUCAGAUGUGAAAUCCCCGGGCUUAACCUGGGAACUGCGUUUGAAACUACAAGGCUAG
rnacentral:rRNA from 1 species